UACGUAGGCAGCAAGCGUUGUUUGGAGUUACUGGGCGUAAAGGGUGUGUAGGCGGUUGCUUAAGUUUGGUGUGAAAUCUCCCGGCUCAACUGGGAGGGUGCGCCGAAUACUGAGUGACUAGAGUGCGGGAGAGGGAAGUGGAAUUCCUGGUGUAGCGGUGAAAUGCGUAGAUAUCAGGAGGAACACCGGUGGUGUAGACGGCUUUCUGGACCAUAACUGACGCUGAGGCACGAAAGCGUGGGUAGCAAACAGG
rnacentral:rRNA from 1 species